GCUGGGUCCCUUCCGCCCUGGCGCGCUCCUCCACCAGCCCGCGGCUGCGAGCUGGGCAGCGAGAAUCCACAGCACAGGGCUGGCGCGGAAAACACCGUCCUGAAGGCUGCUGCUGCGGGUGCUCUUGGAGCGACUUGUGGCUGUCGCCACUUGGUCCCCACAGACUCAAGAGGACGCUACCACCCGGACCGGACUCAGGCAUCCGGAGCACCGCACUCUUCCGAGAACUGCCUACCUCACGUGCCACCUCCGGGUUUCCUUCGCAAAGUCAGCCAAGAUGUAGAAUUUGGAAGUAGCUCUGAGUUGAGCGGAACCUCGGAAGAUGGAAGCAGCGGCCUCAGCCUCUUACGGCUUCAAGAGCCACUGCGGGAAGGAGCCAGAGGGCUUCCUCGGGCCCCGGAUUAAAAUAGAUGCCAGCGGCCGCCCUAAGGCCCGGCAGCCAAUCAGCCUGGUGGGUGGGAUUGGGCAAGGGCAGCUGGAGUGUUGCGAAACAGGAGAUACUUCCAGGCUUACCCUGAUUUUUUUGAGAAGGGCGCUGGUUCCCUCAGACAUUUACAUAGACUUGUCUUUACGUGUUCAGUGGGCAGUGUGUUCACACCAGGAUUGAAGUCGAUAAACUGUGAAGUGACAUGGGAACGUUCAAUGGCCUCACACCUCGGAGUCUCAAUCCUUACUGAUUUGAUCCCCUGAAUCCACAGGUGCAAGAGAGAGCCAACUCCUGAAAGUUGUCCUGUGACAUCCACACUUGCACUAUGACACAGGGUACAUGUGGAUGCCAGAAGACAAACAGAUGUCUUUUCUCAGGAGCUGUCCAUCUUGUUUUCUGACAGUUGUUCUUUGUUAACUAGGGCUCACUGUGUAGGCAAGUCUGGCUGGCCAGCAUCUAUCUCUCUCCACCUCCCAGUACUGGGAUUAUAAGCACCCCCCUCAUACCCUGACUUUUUAUGUGGAUGCUGAGGACUGAAUCAAAUUCUUAUUCUUGUUGGGCAAGCACAUUACCAACUGAACUGAAUCUCCCCGUCCCCUACUGGUACUUCUUAAUGCAUAUUAAUGAACCAACUAAUGGGUUUCACUGUAGAAUAGAUAGAUAGAUAGAUAGAUAGAUAGAUAGAUAGAUAGAUUAAUUAUACAUAGAAAUCACACACACACACACACACACACACACACACACACACACACUUCCUGCAGUGUUUAUGCUGACCAUCACCUCUCUUUUCCCAACCACCAUUCCCUUACCUUUCCUCCCCUUCCAACCACUAAUAAACCCCUUUCUUCUGUU
ensembl:antisense Gm5106 predicted gene 5106